UGGGGAAUUUUGGACAAUGGGCGAAAGCCUGAUCCAGCAAUGCCGCGUGUGUGAAGAAGGCCUUCGGGUUGUAAAGCACUUUUGUCCGGAAAGAAAUCCUUGGCUCUAAUACAGUCGGGGGAUGACGGUACCGGAAGAAUAAGCACCGGCUAACUACGUGCCAGCAGCCGCGGUAAUACGUAGGGUGCAAGCGUUAAUCGGAAUUACUGGGCGUAAAGCGUGCGCAGGCGGUUUGCUAAGACCGAUGUGAAAUCCCCGGGCUCAACCUGGGAACUGCAUUGGUGACUGGCAGGCUAGAGUAUGGCAGAGGGGGGUAGAAUUCCACGUGUAGCAGUGAAAUGCGUAGAGAUGUGGAGGAAUACCGAUGGCGAAGGCAGCCCCCUGGGCCAAUACUGACGCUCAUGCACGAAAGCGUGGGGAGCAAACAGGAUUAGAUACCCUGGUAGUCCACGCCCUAAACGAUGUCAACUAGUUGUCGGGGAUUCAUUUCCUUAGUAACGUAGCUAACGCGUGAAGUUGACCGCCUGGGGAGUACGGUCGCAAGAUUAAAACUCAAAGGAAUUGACGGGGU
rnacentral:rRNA from 1 species